GCAUUAGUGAGGUACAUCCUUACCUGUUACCUUAGAAAUAAGGUUUCAGAGCAUGAUGAUUGGAUUACAUGAAUACGUGAUUAUGUUCCGUAUUUGUUAAGGGCCGCAACCCCUUAAUGAUCCUUUCUGAG